rnacentral:rRNA from 1 species
UACGUAGGGUGCAAGCGUUAAUCGGAAUUACUGGGCGUAAAGCGUGCGCAGGCGGUCUUGCAAGACAGAUGUGAAAUCCCCGGGCUCAACCUGGGAACUGCAUUUGUGACUGCAAGGCUGGAGUGCGGCAGAGGGGGAUGGAAUUCCGCGUGUAGCAGUGAAAUGCGUAGAGAUGCGGAGGAACACCGAUGGCGAAGGCAGCCCCCUGGGCUAACACUGACGCUCAGGCACGAAAGCGUGGGGAGCAAACAGG